GAAGCUACCAUCUGCUGGAUUAUGGCUGAACGCCUCUAAGUCAGAAUCCAUGCCAGAACGGGGUGAUUUCCGCCUGCACCAGUCGGAUACGAAUAGGCCUUUGGCCCAGAACCUUACCAGAUCAGCGUUGGCAGCUUCAUUGAAAUUGGGGCUGCUAGCUGGUGUAUUGCAAUUGUACAGUGCGCAGGAUUGAAUCCUUUGCAGACGACUUAGUUGUCUAGCCGGGUCGUGUAAGUAGUCGAGU
rnacentral:rRNA from 16 species